rnacentral:lncRNA from 1 species
CCUGGCCCUCCCGACAGCACCAGAAACGCCGCUCCGUUUACCCACAUUGCCCCUAUUUAAAAACAAAACAAAAAGCCCCACUCCACCAUCAGCCCUUCAGCAUCCAAGACACCAGGGAAGGACAGACAGUGGUGGGAGGACGCUCCAUAUGCCAGCGGUGUGAGCACUUCACAUAUUGCCCUUCGUUUUACUGAAGAUGAAGAGGGGCAGAAACUCCAAGCACACAAAAUGGAACUAGAAACGGACCCCACCUUGAAGACAUGUACAACCAGGUGCCAGACCCCACCGAGAAGAGAGACACCGAGAUGAGCCAUGGUACACUAGUGAGCAUGCAGGAGAAGUACAUGCUGCAAAACUGCUUGGAGGAGAUGAGAGGAGAACCCUGUCAUGCCUUGUACACAAUCACCAAAGCAGUAACUGGCUGAAGGCAAGGAGGAAGUCAGGGGAAAGAACCAGAAGAAGUGCUAUUUAUUUCACUUUCACUUUGAGCAUACCACAACUGGGAAGAACACACCCUGGCCCAGGAGAGAAGAG